rnacentral:rRNA from 1 species
GAUGAACGCUGGCGGCGUGCCUAACACAUGCAAGUCGAGCGUGAACCCUGCGAAUGAAACUUCGGUCGAUUUUGCAGGGGGAAAGCGGCGGACGGGUGAGUAACGCGUAGGUAACCUGCCCCAUACUGAGGGAUAGCCUCGGGAAACCGGGAUUAAUACCUCAUAACACCGUAUAUUCGCAUGGAUGUGCGGUCAAAGAUUUAUCGGUAUGGGAUGGGCCUGCGUCUGAUUAGCUGGUUGGUGGGGUAACGGCCUACCAAGGCGACGAUCAGUAGCCGACCUGAGAGGGUGAUCGGCCACAUUGGAACUGAGACACGGUCCAAACUCCUACGGGAGGCAGCAGUGGGGAAUAUUGCACAAUGGGCGAAAGCCUGAUGCAGCAACGCCGCGUGAGCGAAGAAGGCCUUUGGGUCGUAAAGCUCUGUCGGGUAGGAAGAUAAUGACGGUACUACCCGAGGAAGCCCCGGCUAACUACGUGCCAGCAGCCGCGGUAAUACGUAGGGGGCGAGCGUUAUCCGGAAUUACUGGGCGUAAAGAGUGCGUAGGUGGCUGCUUAAGCGUGAGGUGAAAGGCAAUGGCUUAACCAUUGUGAGCCUCGCGAACUGGGUGGCUUGAGUGCAGGAGAGGAAAGCGGAAUUCCUAGUGUAGCGGUGAAAUGCGUAGAUAUUAGGAGGAACACCAGUGGCGAAGGCGGCUUUCUGGACUGCAACUGACACUGAGGCACGAAAGCGUGGGGAGCAAACAGGAUUAGAUACCCUGGUAGUCCACGCCGUAAACGAUGGGCACUAGGUGUCGGGGUCGCAAGACUUCGGUGCCGCAGUUAACGCAUUAAGUGCUCCGCCUGGGGAGUACGCACGCAAGUGUGAAACUCAAAGGAAUUGACGGGGACCCGCACAAGCAGCGGAGCAUGUGGUUUAAUUCGAAGCAACGCGAAGAACCUUACCAGGGCUUGACAUCCCUCUGACAGGUGGGUAACGCCACCCUCUCUUCGGAGCAGAGGUGACAGGUGGUGCAUGGUUGUCGUCAGCUCGUGUCGUGAGAUGUUGGGUUAAGUCCCGCAACGAGCGCAACCCUUGUCAUUAGUUGCCAUCAGGUGAUGCUGGGCACUCUAAUGAGACUGCCGGGGAUAACUCGGAGGAAGGUGGGGAUGACGUCAAAUCAUCAUGCCCCUUAUGUUCUGGGCUACACACGUGCUACAAUGGCCGGUACAGCGAGAGGCGAACCCGCGAGGGGGAGCAAAACUCCAAAACCGGUCCCAGUUCGGAUUGCAGGCUGAAACUCGCCUGCAUGAAGUCGGAGUUGCUAGUAAUCGCGAAUCAGCAUGUCGCGGUGAAUGCGUUCCCGGGUCUUGUACACACCGCCCGUCACACCACGGAAGUUGGGGGCGCCCGAAGUCGGUCAGUAAAUAGGCUGCCUAAGGCGAAACCAAUGACUGGGGUG